rnacentral:rRNA from 1 species
GAUGAACGCUGGCGGCGUGCCUAAUACAUGCCAGUCGAGCGAACGGACGAGAAGCUUGCUUCUCUGAUGUUAGCGGCGGACGGGUGAGUAACACGUGGAUAACCUACCUAUAAGACUGGGAUAACUUCGGGAAACCGGAGCUAAUACCGGAUGAUAUUUUGAACCGCAUGGUUCAAAAGUGAGAGACGGUCUUGCUGUCACUUAUAGAUGGAUCCGCGCUGCAUUAGCUAGUUGGUAAGGUAACGGCUUACCAAGGCAACGAUGCAUAGCCGACCUGAGAGGGUGAUCGGCCACACUGGAACUGAGACACGGUCCAGACUCCUACGGGAGGCAGCAGUAGGGAAUCUUCCGCAAUGGGCGAAAGCCUGACGGAGCAACGCCGCGUGAGUGAUGAAGGUCUUCGGAUCGUAAAACUCUGUUAUUGGGGAAGAACAUAUGUGUAAGUAACUGUGCACAUCUUGACGGUACCUAAUCAGAAAGCCACGGCUAACUACGUG